CGUAUGAAAAUUAAUCUUAAAGAGAGAUGUUGUACAUUGAGUUGUUUAUUGUAUUAUAUCAUUCGAUGCGUUAAACCCUAGCGGUCAAUCGAUGCUGCUGCGCGCCGAGUGAUCAUGUCGUCGGAACCUGAGCAGUUCGCCCGUGGAUCGGAGGCGAAGACCAUUGAGCUUGCCGAGAAGGGAACAAUUCACGUUUGAAGCUAGCAUCAAUUGAUGACGUCUAUUGUGUUGGGACUUCGUUUAUGAGCAUGCCAAUACUUUCUUCUGUAGGAGCAGCAAUGAGUCUCCCUUUGCUUUGCCUUGUGUCAAGUUCUCAUCGAGUUAAAACGAAAACAUACUCCAUGUCAUGCCUUUAUUGAGCAGUAGUUAGUGCAUUUAGUUGUCAUGUAAUGUUUUUUUUUUGAGUAAAAACGAGUUUGAUAGUGUCGCUCUAAGGGAAUUACUUUAUGUUGUCGAUCAUGGCAAGAUAUUAUUGCUUUGCUCUCUUCAAUGAAAGAAGUAGGGAUUGCUGUAGAUUUAGUAACUUCAAUUAUAGGUGUUGCAAUGAUUGUGAUAGAUGAAUUCUUUUGAUCAUUAGCAAGGUGUAGAUCUUCAUAUGGAUUAUCUUUGUAGCUAUCUUGUUGUUUAAUGAUUUUUUUAAUCUUUA